AAAAACAAGUUCCGAUUCGACCACCGAAGUUAAGCAACGUCCACUUAGGUCUGUACCUAGAUGGGUGACCGCUUGGGAAUACCAGGUGCUGUAAG